UUUAUAAGUUGAUGAAUUUCACUUCAUUAAACUGCACACAUAUUCAUAAUUAUUAUUAGGUAAAUUAAUAAAUCACGCAAAUCCUUUGUGGCCAAAUUGGGUGACGGAAAGUGCGGUUUCUUGGGGGUAAGGGCCCCCAGAAAAGCUGGAGAAACAACAUCAGGGUGAGAGUAAGGGCCCUCACCGUUAUGGACAUUGAAUCUCAUGUCCGAGCCGGGCUUCCCCGUGGUGAAGUGACCAAGAGAUGCGAAGAUCAGGACGAGGGUAAGGGUCCCCGCCGUUAUGGACCUUGCUCUCUUUUGCCGGUGUGUGCUUCACCGUGGGCGAAGUGUGGCCGUGUGGACACCACUUUCCGCCAUUGAUCGAAACAAAGUGUAGAUCCCCCACGAGAAGCAUGUUGGUCGGGAAAAAUUAUAAAUAGUUAAUAUGAAGUAUUCAUAGUAUGGUAUAUAGAUGUAUGUUUUAUAGUAUGUAAUGAUGGCGUGCUGCGCAAAUAAGAUAUAUGGUGUCCACGAGAUACUAACACUUAUGCUACGGCUGGAUAAUCAGGGAGGCCAGGAAAAAACCUGCAGUACAGGAAAACCUGGGUAGGGCCAAGACCACCAGUGGCUCCCCACAUAGCUUUAUCUUUACAAAAUUAAGAAAUGUCAGUAUCGCGCUAGACACCACUAAGCUAUUCUGUUAACGCAUGCGUUAUUUGUUUUAUUGUUUUUGGUUUGUUUUCGUUUUCUUUUCUUUUUUUUUUUGUUAUGAAACUACGCUUUUGAGCAUAAAUAAGGGAACUAAACGAUCAGAAUUAAUUUGUCGCAAUCCAAAGCAGAACGCCACCGCACAGUAGACAAUACAUAUAUAGUUCAGGUAAUAGAAUGUAGAUUAUGUCAUAAAUAGUUCAUAUAUACGUAAAGAGUUCAUAGCCAUUAGGACGUAGGAGUGAUCCAGAUAGGUGAUGGAAGGCGGAAACCAAGAUGGCGCAAAUGCUGAGAUCUUCUUCGUGUCCUUCCUUCGUUUGUAACAGAAUGACUAAAAGAGAGACGGAGAAAAGCAAAAACUGAUCUGUGUAUAAUCAUGAGCUGGUCGAUAAUAGUUGUCUCAAUGCGCGAUGAAUAAAUUUGUAGUAGAAUGCGAGUGCUCUACUACCCCUUAAUUUGGCUUUGUCUCGGUGUGUGAUACACUGUAGUGAACUGUGAAGUAUGUUUUGUUCUAAUUGCAUCUUAGCUAAGCUACGACACGUUUGUGAUUAAUUGCUUUCUCUUUUGUUAUGCAUUGUUUUAAUUAGGCACAGAGGUGAAAAUAUGCGACUUUGACUAACAUUUUUAAUCGGCCUCGUACAUGCUUAUUUUUUCUCUACUUGGCAUGAAAGGCAUGUCAUUCAAUAGCUAAAAGCC